rnacentral:rRNA from 1 species
AGUUUGAUCCUGGCUCAGGACGAACGCUGGCGGCGUGCCUAACACAUGCAAGUCGAACGAAGCUUGACGAAUGAUUUCUUCGGAAUGAAAUCUGAUAUGACUGAGUGGCGCGACGGGGAAACCGUGACCCACUCCCUUGGAAGGGUAUUGGUGGAAACGACAGAAUACCGUUAAAGUUUUUUCCCGCAGUAGAAAUCCAAAAAUGAGGGCGAAGGAUGGCUCGGUUUUGUUAAAUAGUGGUGGGAAACCGCCCACCAAGUGGAAGACCGGUGCCGGGAUGAGAGGUGGACGGCCACAUUGGGAUUGAACACGGCCCAAAUUCUUACGGGGGGCAGCAGUGGGGAAUUUUGCACAAUGGGGGAAACCCUGAUGCAGCAACGCCGCGUGAAGGAAGACGGUUUUCGGAUUGUAAAUUUCUGUUCUUAGUGAAGAAUAAUGACGGUAGCUAAGGAGCAAGCCACGGCUAACUACGUGCCAGCAGCCGCGGUAAUACGUAGGUGGUAAGCGUUGUCCGGAAUUACUGGGUGUAAAGGGAGCGUAGGCGGGAUGCCAAGUCAGCUGUGAAAACUAUGGGCUUAACCUGUAGACUGCAGUUGAAACUGGUAUUCUUGAGUGAAGUAGAGGUUGGCGGAAUUCCGAGUGUAGCGGUGUAAUGCGUAGAUAUUCGGAGGAACACCGGUGGCGAAGGCGGCCAACUGGGCUUUAACUGACGCUGAGGCUCGAAAGUGUGGGGAGCAAACAGGAUUAGAUACCCUGGUAGUCCACACUGUAAACGAUGAUAACUAGGUGUGGGGGGUCUGACCCCUUCCGUGCCGCAGCUAACGCAAUAAGUUAUCCACCUGGGGAGUACGACCGCAAGGUUGAAACUCAAAGGAAUUGACGGGGACCCGCACAAGCAGUGGAUUAUGUGGUUUAAUUCGAAGCAACGCGAAGAACCUUACCAGCACUUGACAUCCGACUAACGAAGUAGAGAUACAUUAGGUGCCCUUCGGGGAAAGUCGAGACAGGUGGUGCAUGGUUGUCGUCAACUCGUGUCGUGAGAUGUUGGGUUAAGUCCCGCAACGAGCGCAACCCCUGCCAUUAGUUGCUACGCAAGAGCACUCUAAUGGGACCGCUACCGACAAGGUGGAGGAAGGUGGGGACGACGUCAAAUCAUCAUGCCCCUUAUGUGCUGGGCUACACACGUAAUACAAUGGCCAUCAACAAAGAGAAGCAAUACCGCGAGGUGGAGCAAAACUUCAAAAAUGGUCUCAGUUCGGACUGCAGGCUGCAACCCGCCUGCACGAAGUUGGAAUUGCUAGUAAUCGUGGAUCAGCAUGCCACGGUGAAUACGUUCCCGGGUCUUGCACACACCGCCCGUC